GAUUUCUGGCUUGAUUCGCCCGGCCCGCCACGGUGACGUGUGUGAGUGCUGGGUCGAGUCGGCCAUCCUUCGUUUAUGGUUAGUUGUUCUUUAUUGAGCAGCUAAUUCGUGAACGAUCGUUUACUUUGAAAAAAUUAGAGUGUUUCAAGCAGGCUUUAGCUUUGAAUACAUGAGCAUGGAAUAAUAAAGUAGGACUUCGGUUCUAGUUUGUUGGUUUGGAGAGCUGAAGUAAUGAUGGAUAGGGACAGUUGGGGGUGCUAGUAUUCAGCGGCCAGAGGUGAAAUUCUUGGAUUCGCUGAAGACUCACUACGGCGAAAGCAUU
rnacentral:rRNA from 2 species